rnacentral:rRNA from 1 species
AUUGAACGCUGGCGGCAUGCUUUACACAUGCAAGUCGAACGGUAACAGGUUAAGCUGACGAGUGGCGAACGGGUGAGUAAUGCAUCGGAACGUGCCCGAUCGUGGGGGAUAACGCAGCGAAAGCUGCGCUAAUACCGCAUACGAUCUGAGGAUGAAAGCGGGGGACCGUAAGGCCUCGCGCGAUCGGAGCGGCCGAUGUCAGAUUAGGUAGUUGGUGGGGUAAAGGCCCACCAAGCCGACGAUCUGUAGCUGGUCUGAGAGGACGACCAGCCACACUGGGACUGAGACACGGCCCAGAAUCCUACGGGAGGCAGCAGUGGGGAAUUUUGGACAAUGGGCGAAAGCCUGAUCCAGCAAUGCCGCAUGCAGGAAGAAGGCCUUCGGGUUGUAAACUGCUUUUGUACGGAGCGAAAAGGUCCUUUCUAAUACAAGGGGCUCAUGACGGUACCGUAAGAAUAAGCACCGGCUAACUACGUGCCAGCCGCCGCCGUAAAAC